rnacentral:rRNA from 1 species
ACGAAGGGUGCAAGCGUUAAUCGGAAUUACUGGGCGUAAAGGGUGCGUAGGCGGUUCGUUAAGUCUGUCGUGAAAUCCCCGGGCUCAACCUGGGAAUGGCGAUGGAUACUGGCGAGCUAGAGUGUGUCAGAGGAUGGUGGAAUUCCCGGUGUAGCGGUGAAAUGCGUAGAUAUCGUGAGGAACACCAGAGGCGAAGGCGGUAACCUGGACAGUUACUGACGCUCAGGCACGAAAGCAUGGGGAGCAAAAGGGA